rnacentral:rRNA from 1 species
UAUUGGGCGUAUGCGCGCGCAGGUGGUUCUUUAAGUCUGAUGUGAAAGCCCACGGCUCAACCGUGGAGGGUCAUUGGAAACUGGGGAACUUGAGUGCAGAAGAGGAAAGUGGAAUUCCACGUGUAGCGGUGAAAUGCGUAGAGAUGUGGAGGAACACCAGUGGCGAAGGCGACUUUCUGGUCUGUAACUGACACUGAGGCGCGAAAGCGUGGGGGGCGAACAGGAUUAGAUACCCUGGUAGUCCACGCCGUAAACGAUGAGUGCUAAGUGUUAGAGGGUUUCCGCCCUUAGUGCUGCAGCUAACGCAUUAAGCACUCCGCCUGGGGAGUACGGCCGCAAGGCUGAAACUCAAAGGAAUUGACGGGGGCCCGCACAAGCGGUGGAGCAUGUGGUUUAAUUCGAAGCAACGCGAAGAACCUUACCAGGUCUUGACAUCCUCUGACAACCCUAGAGAUAGGGCCUUCCCCUUUUGGGGGACAGAGUGACAGGUGGUGCAUGGUUGUCGUCAGCUCGUGUCGUGAGAUGUUGGGUUAAGUCCCGCAACGAGCGCAACCCUUGAUCUUAGUUGCCAGCAUUCAGUUGGGCACUCUAAGGUGACUGCCGGUGACAAACCGGANGAAGGUGGGGAUGACGUCAAAUCAUCAUGCCCCUUAUGACCUGGGCUACACACGUGCUACAAUGGAUGGUACAAAGAGCCCGCAAACCCGCGAGGGUAAGCUAAUCUCAUAAAGCCAUUCUCAGUUC